AAAAGAAAAACAUGGCUGGGCUCAGUGGCUCAUGCCUGUAAUCCCAGCACUUUGGGAGGCCAAGGCAGGCAGAUCACUUGGGCCCAGGAGUUUGAGACCAGCCUGGGCAACAUAGUGAAACCCCAUCUCUACAAUAAAAUACAAAAAUUAGCUGUGGGUGGUGGUGUGCACCUGUAGUCCCAGCUACUUGGGAGGAAACCUAGUAGGCCAAGGCUGCAGUGAGUGGAGAUUGAGCCACUGCACUUCAGCCUGGGCAACAGAGCGAGACCCUGUCUCAAAAGAAAAAACUUCAAAUCUCGGCUCACUGCAACCUCUGCCUCCCAGGUUCAACAGGGUUUCACCCUGUUGGCCAGGCUGGUCUUGAACUCCUGGCCUCAAGUGAUCUGCCUGCCUCUGCCUCCCAAAGUGGUGGGAUUACAGGCGUGAGCCACCGCGCCCAGCCUUUGUUGUUUCUUUAACGUCAGAAGAAAAACGUGCCUGGGUUCAGGACCUGAAGUGGAGAGGUGGCGUUUAAGCGUCUCAGCCUUGAAGCAGGGUUGUCACCCGUCGGCCUGAGAGCACACUGCCUGUAGAUGGCGCUGUGUCCUAACAUACUCGGGAUGCAUCCAGCUCAGCCCCUGGGGCACACACUCAGCGAGGCUGUCAGGUCCAUGUGCCGAAACAGGUGCUUUGUGGCCCGGUGGGGCAGGCAGCAUUUCUGGGAACAGCGUAACAUCACCAACUGGCCGCAGAGGAAGGGCAGCUCCGCCACUGGGAUGGUCAUCGGGCCCCUGUGUCUUUUGGUUUGCAUCUUGGAUUGGAACAUUCCCAAGUGCAGCUGAAGAUGGGACUUAGCCAAGUCGGCUCCCUGGCCUGGGGCUUCCUUGAGCCCUGCUGAGCGCCUGUGGGUUCAGGGGUGGGUGUUCUUGGUUGAAUCUUGACCGUGGGGUUCUGCACUCACCUGGGCAACUGAACUGAGUCCCAGAAUGCAUUUCACUUACACAGAUUAUGGUUCUGAGACUCACAACCCAAACUGUGAAAAGAUGGGCCAACGUCACAGACGCUGUUCAGGGAGAGGACAUCGUUUUCAUAGGGAUAAUUGCACAGCGUUGUGUGAAAUUCAUGCAGGUCAACACAGUACUUUAAUGGAGUGAUGGGAUCUCUUUCCGUAUUUUCCACCCAUCACUCCCUUUCCUGAAAAGACCAGACCAUCUCCGCCACAGCUCUGAACCUGUGUCUUGGCCACUAGGAGUGCCACACCUGGCACUGCCCCCUGCCCAGGACUUCACAGCAACCCUCAGGGGGCAGGAGAUGCACAGUGAGACGAGGUCACCGCCUGGAUUACAGCCAUCUGAGAUUGUUCAUGCUGCUAUAACAAAAUACUUUAGACUGGGAAAUUAAUAAACAACCAAAGUGUAUUUCUCGCAGUUCCGGAGGCUGUGAGUCCAAGAUCAAGGUGCCAGUAGACUCGGUGUCUUGAGGGCCCGUUUCCCAUAGAGGGCACCUUCUGUGUGUUGUGUGGUGAGAGGGCCUGACAAGCUCCCUCAAGCCUCCCUCAUCAGGGCCCUGAGCCUAUUCAGCGGGCAGAGCUCUCGGGCCCUAACCACCUGUUAGAGGCCCCACUUCCUAAUUCUAGCACCUUGGUGGUCAGGUUUCAGUGUAGGAAUUUUGGGGGUACAAACGUUCACAGCCCCCAGGCUGACCACAGAGCACUGGCAUCCAGGCUGCCCUGUGCCCAGGUGCCACACAGUGGGUCUGGUGAGGAGGAGAGCAGGGCUCUGCUUGGGACCCAUCCUGUGAGGAGGAACCAGAGUGAAGUCUGUUCCUUACAGCCCUCAGCUUCAGCUCACAGCGAAAGCGUCCGCUGAGGGCUGCCUUCUGAAUUUUUCAUUGUAAAAGGUGGCACACCUGGAUAGUCAGUUGAUUUUCAACAAGGGUGCCAAGUUCAUUGGAGAAAAUAUCUUUUCGCAAAAAAACUGAGGCUUGACAAUGCACACCAUGUGCAGAAUUCAGCUUGACUGGAUCAUAUUCCUAAAUGUAAAAGCCUAAAAUUUAAAUUACCUAGAUUCUAAGCCUUAAAAAAUAUGAACUUAAAUCCUGCACUAAUGCCACUGAACUGUACACCUAAAAAUAGAUAAAAUGGUAAAUAUUAUGUUUUAUAUAUUUUUAACACAAUAAAAAAAGUAGAAAUUUGCUUUCUGAAAGGUACUGUUAAAAGAAUGAAAAGAUGGCCAGGUGCGGUGGCUCACGCCUGUAAUCCCAGCACUUUGGGAGGCCGAGGCAGUACGAGGUCAGGAGAUCGAGACCAUCCUGGCUAACAUGGUGAAACCCCAUCUCUACUAAAAAUACAAAAAAAUUAGCUGGGCGUGGUGGCAGGCGACUGUAGUCCCAGCUACUUGGGAGGCAGAGGCAGGAGAAUGAUGUGAAACCAGGAGGCAGAGCUUGCAGUAAGCCAAGAUGGGGCCACUGCACUCCAGCCUGGGUGACAGAGCGAGACUCCGUCUCAAAAAAAAAAGAAAAAA
rnacentral:lncRNA from 10 species